rnacentral:rRNA from 1 species
GAUGAAGAACGCAGGCGAAAUGGCGAUAAGUAGUGUGAAUUGCAGAAUUCAGUGAAUCAUCGAAUCUUUGAACGCACAUUGCGCCCUUUGGUAUUCCAAAGGGCAUGCCUGUUCGAGCGUAAUUUGUACCCUCAAGCUUUGCUUGGUGUUGGGCGUCUUGUCUCUAGCUUUGCUGGAGACUCGCCUUAAAGUAAUUGGCAGCCGGCCUACUGGUUUCGGAGCGCAGCACAAGUCGCACUCUCUAUCAGCAAAGGUCUAGCAUCCAUUAACCUUUUUUCACUUUGACCUCGACAGUAGGAACC